UAAAUACUCCUGACUGACCGAUAGUGAACCAGUACCGUGAGGGAAAGGCGAAAAGAACCCCUGUGAGGGGAGUGAAAUAGAACCUGAAACCGUGUACGUACAAGCAGUAGGAGCACCUUCGUGGUGUGACUGCGUACCUUUUGUAUAAUGGGUCAGCGACUUAUAUUCAGUGGCAAGGUUAACCGUAUAGGGGAGCCGUAGCGAAAGCGAGUCUUAACUGGGCGCUCAGUCUCUGGAUAUAGACCCGAAACCGGGUGAUCUAGCCAUGGGCAGGUUGAAGGUUGAGUAACAUCAACUGGAGGACCGAACCGACUAAUGUUGAAAAAUUAGCGGAUGACUUGUGGCUAGGGGUGAAAGGCCAAUCAAACUCGGAGAUAGCUGGUUCUCCCCGAAAGCUAUUUAGGUAGCGCCUCGGACGAAUACUACUGGGGGUAGAGCACUGUUAAGGCUAGGGGGUCAUCCCGACUUACCAACCCUUUGCAAACUCCGAAUACCAGUAAGUACUAUCCGGGAGACACACGGCGGGUGCUAACGUCCGUCGUGGAGAGGGAAACAACCCAGACCGCCAGCUAAGGUCCCAAAGUAUUGCUAAGUGGGAAACGAUGUGGGAAGGCUCAGACAGCUAGGAUGUUGGCUUAGAAGCAGCCAUCAUUUAAAGAAAGCGUAAUAGCUCACUAGUCGAGUCGGCCUGCGCGGAAGAUGUAACGGGGCUAAGCA
rnacentral:rRNA from 1 species